rnacentral:rRNA from 1 species
AGCGAACGCUGGCGGCAGGCCUAACACAUGCAAGUCGAACGGAUCCUUCGGGAUUAGUGGCGGACGGGUGAGUAACACGUGGGAACGUGCCCUUUGGUUCGGAACAACUCAGGGAAACUUGAGCUAAUACCGGAUGUGCUCUUCGGGGGAAAGAUUUAUCGCCAUUGGAGCGGCGCGCGUCUGAUUAGCUAGUUGGUGAGGUAACGGCCCACCAAGGCGACGAUCAGUAGCUGGUCUGAGAGGAUGAUCAGCCACACUGGGACUGAGACACGGCCCAGACUCCUACGGGAGGCAGCAGUGGGGGAUCUUGCGCAAUGGGCGAAAGCCUGACGCAGCCAUGCCGCGUGAGUGAUGAAGGUCGUAGGAUUGGAAAGUUCUUUCAGCAGGGACGAUAAUGACGGUACCCGCAGAAGAAGCGCCGGCUAACUUCGUG